rnacentral:rRNA from 1 species
UACGUAGGGUCCGAGCGUUGUCCGGAAUUAUUGGGCGUAAAGAGCUCGUAGGCGGUCUGUCGCGUCUGCUGUGAAAACUCGGGGCUUAACCCCGGGCCUGCAGUGGGUACGGGCAGACUAGAGUGCGGUAGGGGAGACUGGAAUUCCUGGUGUAGCGGUGAAAUGCGCAGAUAUCAGGAAGAACACCGAUGGCGAAGGCAGCUCUCUGGGACGGUACUGACGCUGAGACGCGAAAGCGUGGGGGAGCGAACAGG